rfam:Picea glauca, whole genome shotgun sequence.
AUGGAAUGUAUUUCCUACAAUGUUAAUGAACCGGAUUCCAUUAGAACUUUGUAGUUUAGUGUGCUUGGGAUAGAGUAGUACUGGGAUGGAUGACCUUUGGGGAAGUCCUAGUGUUUUACAUG